GUGCUCAGUUUGGGAGCACAUGUACUAAAACUGAAACUAUACAGAGAAGAUUAGCAUGGCCCCCGUGCAAGGAUGACACACGAAUUUGUGAAGAGUUCCAUAUUUUU
ensembl:snRNA U6 U6 spliceosomal RNA